CUUUAUUGGUCCGUCUUCGUUACAGCUCAUCUCCGGGAGCUAGGGCUGCGCCACACACGGGUUUUGGCCCUUGAAAGGAUCCGUCGGGCGGAGGGCGCGUCAGUGGAGUCCGAAAGUGACGUAAUUAACCCCGUCGCGUCCGUAACCCGGGAAGAUACGGGAUUCUCGCGAGGGCUGACGGGUUGUUGAAGACGCGGUCUGACGCUGCUGAGAACAGUGAACUAAUCUUAAAAUAUCUAAUCUUUAGAUUCUGAAGGCUAGGAUUCUGAAAUCAAGCUGUUGGCGAGGCCAGGAUAAUUCUGAGUGCCAUGUGGAAUGAAGUGAAGAGGGCAAGGUGGAAGAAGAAGGAAAGGAGGUUGUUUAAAAAAUCUGAGAGAAAAAGCUUGCGGCUUGGAUCUGGAGGAGGAAACAGAAGUUGUGAAAAAUGGCCCAGAAGAGACAGAAAAGUAGUGGGACCCAGAACCCAGCUUGAGCAUUAUCACGCAGUGAAUCCGUGAAAUAUGGAAAUUGACAAGACUAAGCACAAGCAGGAGGAAGAAAUGGGGAAGAUCUCUUCACCAACCCUGGAAAUGCCACUGUGAUUUGCUGCGACUGUUUCUAAUUGCAAGAUAAACAGAAGUAUGUCCAGGAAGAAGACCAUUGGCCACCAGAUGGCAGUAUUAUCCCUGAAAUGUCUGAUAGUACUGAACCACAGGAUUCAAAGUGAGGCAUAAUUAUCUUUUCUAAAGCCAGGUGCCUACAGCUGCAGAGGUAAGGGGUGAGUGUAGUUCUGUCUGUUCUCAGGAUUCCCCCACAAAGGAUGACUUGAAGGAUUCUGUUCUUCCCACACCUCAGUAGUUCAGUACAGGGGUUCUAAGGCCUGUGGCAGUCUGGUGAGGCCUCUGAAGUCCUUCUCACCCUUGUGUUCUUAAAUGCAUAAAAUAGAACGCAUUGAAUUACAAAAAAAGCCAAACAUACUGAAACAUGGUUGUUAGAAUAUUUAAGAAAAUGUCAGCAAUAUAUGUGCAUCUUUAUUAAGGCAGUAAUUAAUAAAACCCAAGGGCAGGCCUCCUGUCCAUUAUAAUUUUGAAAUAACUCUGACAGGAUUUCAAUAUAUCUACAAUUGUUUAUUAUGUUGGUGGCCUAUGAUUUUAUUUGAUAAACUGCUUCAUUUUAGUUAGAGUUUAAUAAAAAUAAAGACAUAUUUUUCCCCCUUCUCUCUGCACUCUCUCUGUCUCUCUACUUCCUUCCCUUCCCUGUCCAGUUCAUGGAUUCGGUCUUUGGACCUCUUGAAUAUUCCAAGACCCUACGUUCAAUGCCUUUUAAUGGAUCAGUUAAAUCAAAUGUGGCUUGAGAAUGCCUGGACACAGGUCCUUAUUUAACUGCAGCCUAACUUCUUCAUAUGUAAACUAAAUGAAAGCCUAGGUGUGAGCAUACUUGGGUAAUGUGUAGCUUCAGCCAAUAACAGCCUCAAAGCUUCAUUCAGCACAGGUAACCAACUGGUGGCCCUUGUUCAAAUAAGGCAAAGGCUGUUUUAUAGUGCAGCAAGCCUCUGGCAACCUCACUUCUGUUUCCUGCAUUUCCGUUUUCUGUCUGUUGAUGCCCUCUGACCAUGUGGCACCCUGUAAGUCUUUAAACCUGUGCAAGUUGUCAGAGUUUCUGGAUUCUAGAAUCAUGAAUAAAAGCAACGUAAGACCUUUAAACUAGAAUUGUUAUAAUUCUGUCUUUUGAGACAUUUGUCAUUCAUUUUGCCAGUUGAAGGAAGCAAAGCCUCAUUCAAGCUGGCCAGGUUGGAAUGGCUUAAUUAGAGGGAUGUGACACAUCCUUUCCCUCUCCAUCCCUCUCGGGCCCCAACCCCUCCUGUUCACAGCCACAGCUCCUCCUCCCCCCCUCUUCUGUUCUUGUCAUGCCUCUGAAGUGCUAAGGUUUCCUUCCCACAUUCUUUUCCUCCAGGCUCCCCUUUCUUCUUUUCUGACUGAAGCCAAAGCCACUUCCUGGAACCUCUUUGCUCCUCCAUUUAUGCUUUAUCCAAAGUCACUCGGUCUCAGGAAUACUGCCCAGUCAUUUGCCCUUUGCUUCUCUUCUUUAUUAUCCCUCCAGAGGUGGAGGAAAAAGAUGGAAGAUGUGGUCAUUGUUGAAAGCCAGCCAACUCCAGUAGUUAGAGUCAUAGAAAACAUGGAGCUUCUGCAUCUCUACAUUAGAUAAAAUAUCCUUCUUUGUCCCCCAUUACUUUCUCUCCCCUACUCUGCUUUAUUCCUUUUUAGCUCUUUUCUUUAUCUGACAUUAUUUACUUGUAUACUUACCUUGUUAUUUUCUGUUUCCCUCACUAACAUGCAAGCUUCAUAAGACAGGGAUUUAGCUUUUUAGUUUCAGUCUCCCUAGUGCCUAGCACAGGGUUGGGAAUGUUGUAGGUGAUGAAUUAAUACUUAUUAAAGGGAUGAAGCAGAUUGAAAAGGAACAGUAAUGUCAAUAAUUCUCAAAUUUCACUUUUUCAGACUUUUUUUCCCCCUCUAUUGUCUUGCAUUGAAUCUAGAAGUACAAAAUCACCAUGGGUGGGUUUCAUGGGGUGAUUUCAAUGGAGUGUAAUGUUAGUCUGUAAAGGUUAUUUCUUAAAAGUUAGAAGAGUGAAAAUAGAAAAUGAGUUUUGGCAAUUGUACAAAUAAUACAAGAUGCAUACAUAUUUUAAUUUUCUGUAAAUACAGUUUGCCUUUUAUGCAAACUAGAUAACAUUUAAUGAAAACAAAUGUUUCCUUCUCUUUUUGAAUUAUUAAAAUAACUGAAUUUCG